CGAAGGGGCGUAGCGUUGCUCGGAAUUACUGGGCGUAAAGGGCGCGUAGGCGGAUAGUUUAGUCAGAGGUAAAGCCCAGGGCUCAACCUUGGAACUGCCUUUGAUACUGGCUAUCUUGAGUUCGGGAGAGGUGAGUGGAAUGCCGAGUGUAGAGGUGAAAUUCGUAGAUAUUCGGCGGAACACCAGUGGCGAAGGCGACUCACUGGCCCGAUACUGACGCUGAGGCGCGAAAGCGUGGGGAGGCAAACAGGAUU
rnacentral:rRNA from 1 species